UAAUAUCAAUCCUAAGGGUUGUGAAGUAUCUCAUUGUGAUCUUGAUUUGCAUUUCCUAAUGACUAAUGAUACUGAGCAUCUUUUUAUGGUUUAUUGGUUGUUUGUAUAUCUUCUAUGUUGAAAUGUCUAUUCAAAUUCUUUUCCUUU